UUUUUAUGUUCAUAAUAGAUUUUGACACUGGGGAAUAAGAAGCUAUGAAAAUAAGGUUGAUAAACCAGCAAAGAAGUUUUUCCUUAAAUGGUUACAAUCUGCCAAGAGCUGAUAAGAAAAGAAUCCUUUGGGACAAUGACAAAAACUUAAAGCCAUCAACUCCAUGUCAGCAAUGGGCAAGAAAACAAAUGGAAUUUCAGACAAUUCAGAACAAAUGCUACAAAUCCAAAACCAAAUUCAAAACUCUUUUCAAUCCCAUAGUUCUGAAAGACAAUUUAGGAGUACAAUGAAUUUGGGCAACUCCAAGCUGAUAGUUACAUUGUGUCUUUACUUUUGACUUUCUUUUUUCCAGCUGAAGUUAAUUUGUCUCAGUGAAGUGUUUUCUCAUUUUCUCUGGGGUGCAUAUCAUAUCAUCUCUGAUGCAAAAUGCUCAAGAAAAAACUGAGGCAGAGCAAGGUUCAAAAGAAACACCUGCAACAUUGGGGCCAAGAACACGGUUGCUGAAAAUAUUAACAUUAUAAAGAAGUGAAGAAUUUUGUAUAAGAACAAUAGGAGAGAUGUCUUGAAGUAUCUCAGGAAUUGGCCAGACCCCACCCAUUACAAACUCAAGGACAAUGAAAGGUCAUCCUGACUGUUAGUUGUCUACUUAAAUUGUACUGAUACUGCCCAAAGAACAAAUAGCACUAAAUAUACAAGAGUAUCAAGGUGAGUUCCAACUCAAGGAUGAGAAAGGAACACACAUUUAUUGGGUGAGUGGAAGAGAGACAUCUACUGGCUACAUUUGGGUAGCUACUCUGGGAAAUUAUUAGCAUGAUUGAUAAUUCUACUUUGUACUGCAUACUCAGGAGGGGGCAAAUAGGAUGUGGCAAAAAUAUCUGAAAACAUUUCCAAAAUUAACUCAUUCAAAUAAUGUUGAUAACUAGAUUACUAACUGCAAGUUCAUAAAGAGACAAAUAGUUAAAUGAAUUAGAAGAAUUAGAAGGUG